CGCACCAGAAGCCAACUCUACUCCGUGGCUUCUCCAGAAAAUCGGAGUUACUACUCACUUAAGUGAAAACUAAAAAUCCAGUAUCUUCUCCAUUUUAGCUCAUUUUCUUCUGAAACUUGACGAGUGCUUAUGUAAUUAAAUUACACACAUAAACAUCAUCAACUGAGAGUUUAGUUGCACUGUAAAAAUCUCAGUCCUUACACUAGCCGGCGGGUGGGAAGAAAAAAAGAGAUUAGACAUAUUAUAAUUACUCCAAUUCAUUAAUAUAAGGAUACCCGCCCUCUCUCAAAGGAAUGAGAUUAGUACUUUGGAAUGCAUCUCAUUCCAAAGUAAAUCUAGUAUUACCAACUAGAUUGUUUAGUGCGUUUAGCCAAACACCGUCAUAUUUUUUUAUUCCUAUUGGAUUAUUAGAAAUCUUAAAAAGAUAGCACGAUCAAACGGACCCUUAAAGUCAAGGUCGAC
rnacentral:lncRNA from 1 species